CCUACGGGAGGCAGCAGUAGGGAAUGUUCGUCAAUGGGCGCAAGCCUGAACGAGCGAUGCCGCGUGAGUGAAGAAGGCCUUCGGGUCGUAAAGCUCUGUUGCGGGGGAAAAAAGGCAGCAUCAGGAAAUGGGUGCUGACUGAUGGUGCCCCGCCAGAAAGUCACGGCUAACUACGUGCCAGCAGCCGCGGUAAUACGUAGGUGGCGAGCGUUAUCCGGAAGGAUUGGGCGUAAAGGGUGCGCAGGCGGUCCUGCAAGUCUGGAGUGAAACGCAUGAGCUCAACUCAUGCAUGGCUUUGGAAACUGGAGGACUGGAGAGCAGGAGAGGGCGGUGGAACUCCAUGUGUAGCGGUAAAAUGCGUAGAUAUAUGGAAGAACACCAGUGGCGAAGGCGGCCGCCUGGCCUGUUGCUGACGCUGAGGCACGAAAGCGUGGGGAGCAAAUAGGAUUAGAUACCCUUGUAGUC
rnacentral:rRNA from 1 species